AAGAGUUUUUGGGGAAGAGUUCCAGUUGUGAAACACAGAAAUGGUGAUGGAUACAGCAGGGGACCACUAAAGGGAGCAGUGGGAUUACAUGGCUGCAAAUAAGGCCCAGAACUUGUGAUUCUGCUCUGUGGGUUCACAACAGCAUCUACAGGAGAGAUCGCCUCACAAAACUGGCCACCCUCCAGUAAGUGUCAUGCACAGUGGCUUCUGGAUUCAGGCAGAAACAACAGCCCAAAGGAUUACUGCUGCCCAUGCAGGAAGUUUUCCAGGCAGGUCAGUGCUUCCACGUGAGUGGAAUCCAGCAAGUCAAAACCCAGGAAACUCAAACAGCGGAGGAUGAGGACGGAUGGUCUGCCUGAAACCUAAUUGCUGUGAGGCAAGAAAAACAGCAGGACUGGGAGGACAGAAGAUGCAAGGUGAUGCUGAAGUCAUGUUCUGCUGCUGGCCAUAAGUGAUUCACUGAACAGCGUGUCCCCUGUCAGAGGGAGGGAACAAUAAGAGGAACAUUUGGCAUU